rnacentral:rRNA from 1 species
UGGCGGACGGGUGAGUAAUGUCUGGGAAACUGCCUGAUGGAGGGGGAUAACUACUGGAAACGGUAGCUAAUACCGCAUAACGUCUCCGGACCAAAGUGGGGGACCUUCGGGCCUCACACCAUCGGAUGUGCCCAGAUGGGAUUAGCUUGUAGGUGGGGUAAUGGCUCACCUAGGCGACGAUCCCUAGCUGGUCUGAGAGGAUGACCAGCCACACUGGAACUGAGACACGGUCCAGACUCCUACGGGAGGCAGCAGCC